GAUGAACGCUGGCGGCGUGCCUAAUACAUGCAAGUCGAGCGAACGGACGAGAAGCUUGCUUCUCUGAUGUUAGCGGCGGACGGGUGAGUAACACGUGGAUAACCUACCUAUAAGACUGGGAUAACUUCGGGAAACCGUAGCUAAUACCGGAUAAUAUUUUGAACCGCAUGGUUCAAAAGUGAAAGACGGUCUUGCUGUCACUUAUAGAUGGAUCCGCGCUGCAUUAGCUAGUUGGUAAGGUAACGGCUUACCAAGGCAACGAUGCAUAGCCGACCUGAGAGGGUGAUCGGCCCCACUGGAACUGAGACACGGUCCAGACUCCUACGGGAGGCAGCAGUAGGGAAUCUUCCGCAAUGGGCGAAAGCCUGACGGAGCAACGCCGCGUGAGUGAUGAAGGUCUUCGGAUCGUAAAACUCUGUUAUUAGGGAAGAACAUAUGUGUAAGUAACUGUGCACAUCUUGACGGUACCUAAUCAGAAAGCCACGGCUAACUACGUG
rnacentral:rRNA from 1 species